CUCCGGGCGGCCGUGACCCUGCUGGAGUCCGGGGGGGACCUCCAGCCCCCCGGGGGGUCCCUGCGCCUCCUCUGCCGAGGGUCCGGCUUCAGUUUCGGCAGUUACACCAUGUUCUGGAUCCGCCAGAGACCCGGGCAGGCGCUGGAAUACAUUGCAGGGAUCACCAACAAUGGUGGUUACACCGCCUACGCGCCGUCGUUGAGGGGCCGGGUGACGAUCUCCAGGGACAACGGGCAGAGCUCGGUGACGCUGACCAUGAACAGCCUCAGGGACGAGGAUUCCGGAUCCUAUUUCUGCGGGAAAUACUACGAUGUUUAUGGUGGUGCUUAUGCUGGUUAUGGUGUUGAUGUUUGGCCCCGCCCCCAUUGCCGUGUCCCCCCAUCCCCAAAUCCCAGACCCUCCCCCAAAGCCCAGCCCUUGGCUCCAUCCCUGACCCUGUAUCCCUGCCCUGGACACGUCCUGCCCCAAAUUCUCUGCUCUUGGCCACAAACUUGA